rnacentral:rRNA from 1 species
AGAGUUUGAUCCUGGCUCAGGAUGAACGCUAGCGACAGGCUUAACACAUGCAAGUCGAGGGGCAGCACGGGAGUAGCAAUACAACUGGUGGCGACCGGCGCACGGGUGAGUAACGCGUAUGCAACCUACCUAUCAGAGGGGAAUAACCCGGCGAAAGUCGGACUAAUACCGCAUAAAACAGGGGCACCGCAUGGUGAUAUUUGUUAAAGAAAUUCGCUGAUAGAUGGGCAUGCGUUCCAUUAGGUAGUUGGUGAGGUAACGGCUCACCAAGCCGACGAUGGAUAGGGGAACUGAGAGGUUGGUCCCCCACACUGGUACUGAGACACGGACCAGACUCCUACGGGAGGCAGCAGUGAGGAAUAUUGGUCAAUGGGCGGGAGCCUGAACCAGCCAAGUCGCGUGAAGGAAGAAAGAUCUAUGGUUCGUAACUUCUUUUGCARGGGAAUAAAGUGCAAGACGUGUCCUGUUUUGUAUGUACCCUGAGAAUAAGAUCGGCUAACUCCGUGCCAGCAGCGCGGUAAUACAGAGGAUCCGAGCGUUAUCCGGAUUUUAUUGGGUUAAAGGUGCGUAGUGGUUUKRWWAGUCAGCGGUGAAAGUUGSAGCUUWACUGUAAAAUGCCGUUGAAACUGUCGGACUUG